AGAAAUCAAGUAAGCGCGGGUCAACGGCGGGAGUAACUAUGACUCUCUUAAGGUAGCCAAAUGCCUCGUCAUCUAAUUAGUGACGCGCAUGAAUGGAUUAACGAGAUUCCUACUGUCCCUAUCUACUAUCUAGCGAAACCACAGCCAAGGGAACGGGCUUGGAAUAAUUAGCGGGGAAAGAAGACCCUUUUGAGCUUGACUCUAAUCUGGCAGUGUAAGGAGACAUAAGAGGUGUAGAAUAAGUGGGAGAUAUUAUUCCUUGUGUUUGAUAUCGCCAAUGAAAUACCACUACUCUUAUUGUUUCCUUACUUACUUGAUUAAAUGGAACGUGUAUCAUUUCCUAGCCAUUAUACGGAUAUAUUUAUUAUAUCUUAUGGUAUUGGGUUUUGAUGCAAGCUUCUUGAUCAAAGUAUCACGAGUUUGUUAUAUAAUCGCAAACAAAUUCUUUAAUGAGAGAGUGCAUUUAUGUAUUUUUAAUUUGAAAUAUUUGGUAUAACUCCAAUUACUCAGGUAUGAUCCAAUUCAAGGACAUUGCCAGGUAGGGAGUUUGACUGGGGCGGUACAUCUCUCAAAUAAUAACGGAGGUGUCCCAAGGCCAGCUCAGUGCGGACAGAAACCACACAUAGAGCAAAAGGGCAAAUGCUGACUUGAUCUCGGUGUUCAGUACACACAGGGACAGCAAAAGCUUUGGUUUAAAGAGUUUUUAACAAGAGGUGUCAGAAAAGUUACCAUAGGGAUAACUGGCUUGUGGCGGCCAAGCGUUCAUAGCGACGUCGCUUUUUGAUCCUUCGAUGUCGGCUCUUCCUAUCAUUGUGAAGCAAAAUUCACCAAGCGUUGGAUUGUUCACCCAUGCAAGGGAACGUGAGCUGGGUUUAGACCGUCGUGAGACAGGUUAGUUUUACCCUACUAAUGACAAAACGUUGUUGCGACAGCAUUCCUGCGUAGUACGAGAGGAACCGCAGGUACGGACCAAUGGCACAAUACUUGUUCGAGCGAACAGUGGUAUGACGCUACGUCCGUUGGAUUAUGCCUGAACGCCUCUAAGGUCGUAUCCGUGCUGGACUGCAAUGAUAAAUAAGGGGCAAUUUGCAUUGUAUGGCUUCUAAACCAUUAAAAGUUUAUUUUAUAAACGACAAUGGAUGUGAUGCCAAUGUUAUUUGUAACAUAGUAAAUUGGGAGGAUCUUCGAUCACCUGAUGCCGCGCUAGUUACUUAUUAAAACAUUAUUUAAUACAAUGACAAAGCCUAGAAUCAAUUGUAAACGACUUUUGUAACAGGCAAGGUGUUGUAAGUGGUUGAGCAGCUGCCAUACUGCGAUCCACUGAAGCUUAUCCUUUGCUUGAUGAUUCGA
rnacentral:ncRNA from 1 species